rnacentral:snRNA from 1 species
GUGCUUGCUUCAGCAGCACAUAUACUAAAAUUGGAACAAUUCAAAGAAGAUUAACAUGGUCCCUGAGCAAGGAUGACACACAAAUUCGUGAAGCGUUGCAUAUUUAA